rnacentral:rRNA from 1 species
CAGUCGCCGCGGGAACACGUAGGGUGCGAGCGUUAAUCGGAAUUACUGGGCGUAAGGCGUGCGCAGGCGGUUCGCUAAGACAGAUGUGAAAUCCCCGGGCUUAACCUGGGAACUGCAUUUGUGACUGGCGAGCUAGAGUAUGGCAGAGGGGGGUAGAAUUCCACGUGUAGCAGUGAAAUGCGUAGAGAUGUGGAGGAAUACCGAUGGCGAAGGCAGCCCCCUGGGCCAAUACUGACGCUCAUGCACGAAAGCGUGGGGAGCAAACAGGAUUAGAUACCCGUGUAGUCCCUGUCUCUUAUAA